rnacentral:rRNA from 1 species
GAUGAACGCUGGCGGCGUGCCUAAUACAUGCAAGUCGAGCGAACGGACGAGAAGCUUGCUUCUCUGAUGUUAGCGGCGGACGGGUGAGUAACACGUGGAUAACCUACCUAUAAGACUGGGAUAACUUCGGGAAACCGGAGCUAAUACCGGAUAAUAUUUUGAACCGCAUGGUUCAAAAGUGAAAGACGGUCUUGCUGUCACUUAUAGAUGGAUCCGCGCUGCAUUAGCUAGUUGGUAAGGUAACGGCUUACCAAGGCAACGAUGCAUAGCCGACCUGAGAGGGUGAUCGGCCGCACUGGAACUGAGACACGGUCCAGACUCCUACGGGAGGCAGCAGUAGGGAAUCUUCCGCAAUGGGCGAAAGCCUGACGGAGCAACGCCGCGUGAGUGAUGAAGGUCUUCGGAUCGUAAAACUCUGUUAUUAGGGAAGAACAUAUGUGUAAGUAACUGUGCACAGCUUGACGGUACCUAAUCAGAAAGCCACGGCUAACUACGUG